AUGGCGGCGACUGCGUUCCGGUCGGCGGCGAGGAGGGACGCGUUCGGGGCCGCGGAGGGCGACGGCGGCGGCGGGUCCGCCGCGCGCGGCCGGACGCCGGACGGCGCGGGCGGCCUACGCCGGUCGAGGAGCCUGAGCCGGUUCCCGCCGCCGUCGCCGUCCCCGGAGGACGCGCCGACGCCCUCCUCGAGGUUCGUGACCAAGGUGCGGGGCGGGGGGCCGUCGGGCGGGUUUCCGGAGAUCAGCCUCGACGACCUGGCGGACGAGUUCUUCCGGGCCAGGGUGGAGUCCGAGGACGACGACGAGGAGGUGGUGGUGCAGCGCGGGGAGGACGACUCGCGCGGGCGGCUCAGGUUCCCGGCGCCCGCGGAGAAGGGCCGCGGCGGUCGGCGGAGCUCCACCGCGCGGUACGCCAGGGAGACGGCGUCGUCCAGGCAGCGCGAGCGCUCGGCGUCGCGGUCCCCGCUGGAGCGGCGGGGCGGAGCCGCCGCGGCUGAAAAUGGCGCUGCCGCCGCCACGAGGCAGAGGUAUGCCUCGGUGGAUCGGCAUGCUUCCAUUGGUCGGCAACGGUAUGCCUCGGUGGACCGCCGUGCUUCGACGGACCGGCAGCGGUGGUGUGAAUCGGAUAAUGAUAUGGACUUUUCUCGCCGGUCUGGUUCUAGGGGGACAAAUACCAAAUCUAGCAGUGGCCAUAGUCUGCAGAAUUCACUUAAUAAGUCUAAAGUGAAUCAAACUCUGACAAGGUCUACAAGUCAAAAUGAUUUUGUACAUUUACGAGACAGCGGCUCGAGCCAUUCUUCGUUAACUGAUGAUGAAUCUAGGGAUGCUCAUUCUUUUCAUAGCAGAAAUUACAGUGGAAAUCGGGCUGUUUAUUCCCAGGAGAAGCCAAUUGAAGAUAAUGAUUCAAAUGUGCUGUAUGAUGUGAUGCGUAAAGAAGUGAGGCAAGCUGUUGAAGAAAUCAGAACUCAGCUUGAAAAGGCCGUGACAAACUCUGAACCUUCAGAAAAGGCUAGAAGUGAUGAUGCGCAGCCAACCCAGGUUAUUGGUGAACUCCGUAGGAACUACACUAGCAAGUUGGAAGAGUCAGAGAAGAGGAAGCAGGAAUUACUAGCUCAAUUGGCGGCAGAAGAACAACGUGGUCAUGAACUCACAAAAAUAGUUAAAGAAUUACUGCCUACUACUAAGAAGAAUGUUAAACCGGAGAGGCCGCCACCACGCAGAAGAAGGAGCAAUGAUAGAGCAAGGAUGUCGAAAUGCCUUACCAAAGAGGCCGAGCUAUACUUUGAAGAUUUCCUGUCAAAUGUUGAAGAUACCGAUUUUUCAUCGUUUGAUGGUGAAAGAAGUGACACGAGUUCAACUCGACGAGAUGUGGUACUUCGUGCUAUGGCGGAAACUCAUGUAGUCCUUCCGAAAGUUGCACCACCUGUUGUGUCAGAUGGUGUUGUCCUUCCUUGGUUGCAAUGGGAAACUAGCAACGAUCUACAUGCCUCCCCAACCACAAUCAAGACACAGGACGCAAGCACUGCAUGCAGCACCAGCAGUCACACCAUGAGCAGCCGUGGGAGCUGGAGCCCUGGAGACCAUGAUAGCUCAGCUGGCUCCAAAGAUGGACUACUCUCCAGGUUCAACGAGGCCGCGACUCGCCUAAGCAGCUGCCCCGAUAAUAAGCGAGGCACAUCGUUCCAUAUGGACGACUAUCUGCAUCUGCGGAGGAGCGAGGAUUUCCUCUUUGAGCGAUUGAGUCAGAAGCAAAGAAUCGACUAUGGCGGUCUAACCGUAUGCAGGAGGUCGACAAUAAUAUAG
rnacentral:rRNA from 1 species